AUGGCGCUGAGUGCUUACGCGAUGGAGAGCGCGGGUCUGGGUGUGCGGUACUUUGAGUGGCUCAGGCCGCGGUCACCGCGGGCAUCCUCGCCGUCAUCGAUGCCAUCCUCGCUCUCGUCGCCGUCGAGUGACUGCCUGGUGCCCGGUGAAGAUCAUCGAAGCACCAUGCUGUGUCUGCCGCUCCUCGGCAGGGUCGGGGCUGGGGAGGAGACGACGAGCGGCGGCACCCCUGUUGGCGCGCAGACAAGUCCUAUCAAAGAAGAGCUGAGCGGUAUUACGGAGGACGCCGGUGUUGACCUGAACAUCGGCUUGCCGGCCGGUGGCGGCUAUUGUUCUGAAGAAGAGGUGCCGCCCAUGGCCAUGUCCAUGGACGAGGACGAGGAGGAGGAGGAGGUCGAAACGGAGGAUGAAGAGAAGCCAAGGUACGAGAGGUUCAAGGUGGAAACAGGCGUGCAAGUUGAACAUAGUGAGAUUCUGGUGGAGUCAGUGGAGGGAUCAGACCGCGUAUCCAUAGGCCGCGAAGAGACCAGCGGCUGCCGCCACCGGCGGUUCUGGAUCCCGACGCCGGCGCAGAUACUCAUCGGCGCCGUGCAGUUCGUCUGCCACGUCUGCAGCAAGACCUUCAAUAGAUACAACAACAUGCAGAUGCACAUGUGGGGCCACGGGCGGGAGUACCGGAAGGGCCCGGAUUCGCUCAAGGGCGCGGCGGGGCAGUCGACCCACGCGGCGGCGCUGGCGCUGCUGCGGCUGCCGUGCUACUGCUGCGCGGCUGGGUGCCGGAACAACGUGGCCCACCCGCGGGCGCGGCCGCUCAAGGACUUCCGCACGCUGCAGACGCACUACCGGCGCAAGCACGGCGCCAAGCCCUUCGCCUGCCGCCGCUGCGCCAAGCCCUUCGCCGUCAAGGGCGACUGGCGCACGCACGAGAAGAACUGCGGCAAGCGCUGGUUCUGCGCCUGCGGCUCCGACUUCAAGCACAAGCGCUCCCUCAACGACCACGUCCGCUCCUUCGGCGGCGGCCACCGCCCCGUAGCCCCCGCCGACGCGGCGGCCGCGCCCGCGCCGACGCAGCAGCGCAGGGAGCGCAUCAUACGGUUCGACUAG
rnacentral:rRNA from 1 species